GCGAGUGAAGCGGCAACAGCUCAAAUUUGAAAUCUGGCUCCUUUGGGGUCCGAGUUGUAAUUUGUAGAGGGUGCUUCGGGCACGAUGCCGGUCUAAGUUCCUUGGAACAGGACGUCGUAGAGGGUGAGAAUCCCGUAUGCGACCGGCGAUCAAGCCCGUGCGAAGCCCCUUCGACGAGUCGAGUUGUUUGGGAAUGCAGCUCAAAAUGGGUGGUAAAUUUCAUCUAAAGCUAAAUAUUGGCCAGAGACCGAUAGCGGACAAGUAGAGUGAUCGAAAGAUGAAAAGCACUUUGGAAAGAGAGUCAAACAGUACGUGAAAUUGUUGAAAGGGAAGCGCUUGCAAUCAGACCGGUCCGGAGGCGAUCAGCCGCUGCUCGUCAGCGGUGCACUCGCCUGCGAUCCGGCCAGCAUCGGUUUGGGCGGCGGGAUAAAAGUCCCGGGAAUGUAGCUUCUCCCGGGGAGUCUUAUAGCCCGGGUCGCAAUGCCGCCCGCCCGGACCGAGGACCGC
rnacentral:rRNA from 1 species